AGACGAAUCGACACCAUCUGUUCGACUUUAUUUUAGAUGAUCUACUUUCAGUUUAACAAGGCGCACACGUUCGAGGGUCGUCCUUGACCGGAGUAGAUCCAGACGCCGGCUAAUCAAGUGCUGCGCCAUGUUGCCAUGUCUUGCAGGGGUGGAAAGGAGCCUGUUUACGGCCCUUCCUCAUUUAGCCUGACAGCCACACCAGGACCAGGGCCUGACCCAGUGUAAACACAGUGCAGCAGCUUCAAAGACCUCACACUGGUUGUGCUGGGACCGAUGCUGGUGCGACUAUGUCGCACAUUCGUGACACGCCGGCGAACUGAGGUCAUUGCUGUUUUUCGUUGAGUGGUUCGGGAAAGCAUUCGGUUUUGCCUCACUGUGCUCGGUAUUUGUCAAAUUAACAACAUUUGAUCUGUCAGGAUUUAGUAACUCUUGUAGACGGCGUGCGCUAAGUCGAAAAGAAUGUUUCCUUUUUUUGUGUGCACAUCUGUAACAAUAGAUUAUCUACAGGAGAACAAAAUACCUCCGAGUCUGGUUCUUGAACCCUAAUGGAUCACAGCUGUUUGAGACUCGACUGUGCGCUUUUGAGCCUGAUGUCGCAGCUAUUAAAACAUAGAGCUGGGAAAGUGGCUUAAGAUAUUUCAUUUCCCAUUGUGGAGAUUUCAAUUCCUUCAAAGUUUGGUUCGGUGCAUCCAGUCAUCUCAGAGUAAAUUAAUGUAGCAUGUCAAUAAUGAUUCACACAUAAAUCCAACUGCAAAUAUCAUUUCUAGAAUACAUUUUUUGAAGUUUAGUUGAGCCCAAAUAUGUUCAAUCUGGAAAUGUCAAAACAUGUUGGAAAAAGUUUCAAUGUGGGUCGGGAUCGUGUUCAAACAAAGGUGUUUAAAACCUGAUAUGUUGCAGCCUGGGUGGACCUCUGUGGGUGGUUCGACGGAUGAUAUUCACAUGAUUAAGAGAGCAUCGCUGGAGAGAUUUACGGAGCGUUAGCUUUUUUGGAACCAGGUCACACGGUCCAGGCAGCCCAGGGAGUUGCCAUGUUUUGUUUGAAAUUCACAAUAAAGAAAAAGACGAGAACUUACCGUUUCCCUACUGAGAGGCAAUGUGUGCGGCAAAGUAAUGACAACGUGUUCGAAUCGAAUCAUUGCAACGAUAAAAUCGGUUGCGCGCAGCAUGAUACUACCUGCCAACUCAGUCAAACGCACACUUUAUUUUGUCAAUUAUUUAAGCAAAUUUAUGGUGUUCCGUUGGUCAGGCUUCCUAGUUUUUUUUUUCCACUUAAACCGACAUUCUCAGUACUAUAUACUCAACUUGUCUUAAGUUUAUUUAUAGUAGACUUUACACUGAUUUGAUCAGC